rnacentral:rRNA from 1 species
AACGAACGCUGGCGGCGCGCCUAACACAUGCAAGUCGAACGAGAAUCCGGGGCAACCCGGUAGUAAAGUGGCAAACGGGUGAGGAAUACAUGGGUAACCUACCCUUGAGAAGGGAAUAACCCGCCGAAAGGUGAGCUAAUACCCUAUACGCUAUCUUUUUUUCGAAAAGGAUAGGAAAGCCGGGUCGAGGACCUGGUACUCAAGGAGGGGCUCAUGUCCUAUCAGCUUGUUGGUGGGGUAACGGCCUACCAAGGCUACGACGGGUAGCUGGUCUGAGAGGAUGAUCAGCCACACUGGCACCGAGAUACGGGCCAGACUCCUACGGGAGGCAGCAGUGAGGAAUAUUGCGCAAUGGGCGAAAGCCUGACGCAGCGACGCCGCGUGGGGGAGUGAAGGUUUUCGGAUUGUAAACCCCUUUCAUGAGGAAAGAUAAAGUGGGUAACCACUUAGACGGUACCUCAAGAAGAAGCCACGGCUAACUUCGUGCCAGCAGCCGCGGUAAA